GACGAACGCUGGCGGCGUGCUUAACACAUGCAAGUCGAACGGAAAGGCCCUGCUUUUGUGGGGUGCUCGAGUGGCGAACGGGUGAGUAACACGUGAGUAACCUGCCCUUGACUUUGGGAUAACUUCAGGAAACUGGGUCUAAUACCGGAUAGGAGCUCCUGCUGCAUGGUGGGGGUUGGAAAGUUUCGGCGGUUGGGGAUGGACUCGCGGCUUAUCAGGUUGUUGGUGGGGUAGUGGCUUACCAAGGCUUUGACGGGUAGCCGGCCUGAGAGGGUGACCGGCCACAUUGGGACUGGGAUACGGCCCAGCCUCCUACGGGAGGCAGCAGUGGGGAAUAUUGCACAAUGGGCGGAAGCCUGAUGCAGCAACGCCGCGUGCGGGAUGACGGCCUUCGGGUUGUAAACCGCUUUCGCCUGUGACGAAGCGUGAGUGACGGUAAUGGGUAAAGAAGCACCGGCUAACUACGUG
rnacentral:rRNA from 1 species